AUGAACGCUGGCGGCGUGCCUAAUACAUGCAAGUCGAACGAGGUGCUUUUGUAGCAAUACGGAAGUAUCCUAGUGGCGAACGGGUGAGUAACGCGUUGGUGACCUACCCCAAAGUGUGGGAUAACAGUUCGAAAGAACUGCUAAUACCGCAUGUGGUUAUUGGAUUUAGAAACCGAUAACUAAAGGAGCAAUUCGCUUUGGGAGGGACCUGCGUCCCAUCAGCUAGUUGGUGAGGUAAUGGCUCACCAAGGCUACGACGGGUAGGGGACCUGAGAGGGUGACCCCCCACAAUGGAACUGAAACACGGUCCAUACACCUACGGGUGGCAGCAGUAGGGAAUAUUGCACAAUGGGCGAAAGCCUGAUGCAGCAACGCCGCGUGUGCGAUGAAGGCCUUCGGGUCGUAAAGCACUUUUCUGAGGGAUGAGCAAGGACAGUACCUCAGGAAUAAGUCUCGGCUAACUACGU
rnacentral:rRNA from 1 species